rnacentral:rRNA from 1 species
CCUACGGGAGGCAGCAGUGGGGAAUUUUGGACAAUGGGCGAAAGCCUGAUCCAGCAAUGCCGCGUGUGGGAAGAAGGCCUUCGGGUUGUAAACCACUUUUGUACGGAACGAAAAGGUCUGCUUUAAUAAAGCGGGCUCAUGACGGUACCGUAAGAAUAAGCACCGGCUAACUACGUGCCAGCAGCCGCGGUAAUACGUAGGGUGCGAGCGUUAAUCGGAAUUACUGGGCGUAAAGCGUGCGCAGGCGGUUAUAUAAGACAGUUGUGAAAUCCCCGGGCUCAACCUGGGAAUUGCAUCUGUGACUGUAUAGCUAGAGUACGGUAGAGGGGGGUAGAGUACGUCCGUGU